rnacentral:rRNA from 1 species
UACGAAGGGGGCGAGCGUUGUUCGGAUUUACUGGGCGUAAAGGGCGCGUAGGCGGUGCCGUAAGUCAGGCGUGAAAGCCCCGGGCUCAACCUGGGAACUGCGCUUGGGACUACGGGACUGGAGUUCGGGAGAGGAGCGUGGAAUUCCCAGUGUAGAGGUGAAAUUCGUAGAUAUUGGGAAGAACACCGGUGGCGAAGGCGGCGCCCUGGACCGAGACUGACGCUGAGGCGCGAAAGCGUGGGGAGCAAACAGG